rnacentral:rRNA from 1 species
GAGCUUGAACUCAGAUCCGCGGAGUAACGUCUGCGUGAAGCGAACCCGGGGAAGUGAAACAUCUCAGUACCCGGAGGAAAAGAGAACAACAGGAGUUGCGUUCUCUUCAAGCGUAUGUUCGUUUGAAGGGAACGCGACUCUCGUGAUACCCCGAGUAGCGGCGAGCGAAAAGGGAAAAGCCCAAACCCUACUUCGCUCAUUGCUGCGCAGAUGAGCUACGAAGGGCAGGCCUAUCUACACAAGAUGGGCUGUGCCCGACGAAGCUCGCUGGGCGGUAGCGAGCGAAGUAGGGGGUUGUAAGAUGCGAGCGUCAUACUUGUAUGAAAAGAGUUACAAAUUGUCUGUAUAGCCGAAGCUGCUGGGAAGCAGCGCCACAGAGGGUAAUGGCCCCGUAGGCGAAAUACACGACAACUCUUGCUUGUAUUCUUGAGUAGCUCGAGACACGAAUAGCUCGAGUGAAUCUGCCGGAACUAACCGGUAAGGCUAAAUACAUCCUAUGACCGAUAGCGAACUAGUACCGUGAGGGAAAGGUGAAAAGAACCCCGAGAGGGGAGUGAAAUAGAACUGAAACCGUGUACUUACAAGGGGUCGGAGCGGGCAUUUAUGUCCGUCACGGCAUGCCUAUUGAAGAAUGAGCCGGCGAGUGUGUAUAUCUUGCGUAGCUAAGCCCUUACGGGGCGGAGCUUUAGGGAAACCGAGUGUGAAUAGCACGUUGGUAGGAUAUAUACGACCCGAAGCCAGGUGAGCUUGCCAUGAGCAGGGUGAAGUUUGUCGAAAGACAGAUGGAGGCCCGAACCCGUAGGUCGUACAACGCCUUGGGAUGACUUGUGGUAAGGAGUGAAAAGCUAAUCGAACCUGGGAAUAGCUGGUUCUCUCCGAAACAGCUUUUGGGCUGGCGUCGCCAUAUGUGUGCGUGGGGGUAGAGCACUGGAAGGGAUCAACAGGGAGCAAUCUCGUGAUUCCUAUCAAACUCCGAAUACCACGUACUCGGGCGGCAGUUAGAAGGUGGGGGCGAAGCUCCAUCGAUCGAGAGGGGAAGAGCCCAGAUCGCCACUUAAGGCCCCUAAAUCGACGUUCAGUACAUCACAAGGAAGUGAGGACUCAUUGACAGUGAGGAGGUUGGCUUAGAAGCAGCCACCCUUUAAAGAAAGCGUAACAGCUCACUCAUCGAGAGUCCUUGCGCCGAAGAUGAUCGGGGUUAAACGUCGUGCCGAAAUUGCGGGCUUGUGCGCUUCAUUGAGGAAAUGUUCUUUAAGGUUUGUCUGGGAGCAUAGCUCAGAGGUAGAGCAAUGGAUUCUUAAUCCGUGGUCGAAGGUUCAAAUCCUUCUCUCCCAGCCAAUCUAAAAAAAGUUUGUUGGCUGGUAGCUCAGCAGGCAGAGCGGUGGGAUUUAGCCCCCACCUGCGCGGGUUCGAGUCCCGCCCGGUCCACCAAACUUUUUCGGGCAAGUCCGAUCAGACUUGCCUCCUCAAUGAAGUGCAUAAGCGGUAGGAGAGCGUUCUGUUCGCGCUGAAGCUAAAGGGGGAACCCAUGGUGGAGCGUACAGAAGUGAGAAUGCCGGUACAAGUAACCACAAUGCGGGUGAGAACCCCGCACAUCGAAAGACCGAGGUUUCCUCAGCUAUGGUGAUCAACUGAGGGUUAGUCGGGCCUAAGGGGAUGGCGAGAGCCGCACCCGAUGGACACAGGGUUAAUAUUCCCUGACCGCGAUAUGGGCGAUGGAGUGACGAACUGCUGUAUGCGCUGCCGGUUAUUGGAUUCCGGUUGCUUGCAUGAGGGCGCGCGUUAGGUAAAUCCGGCGCGCACUAGCCCGAGUGAGGGCGCAAUUUCCUCCCACGGGGGGAGAGAGAGUGCAAAGCGCGGUUCCGAGAAAAACUUCUAAGCUUAACCAUAUUUGCGACCGUACCGCAAACCGACACAGGUGGUCAGCUCGAGUAGAGUAAGAUGAACGAGUAAGAGGUCCUCAAGGAACUCGGCAAAAAAGCGGCCGUAAGUUAGCGAUAAGGCCUGCCCCUCAUUCGCAAGAGUGAGGGGCCGCAGUGAAAGUUUUCCUGGCAACUGUUUACCAAAAACACAGCUCCCUGCAAACUCGUAAGAGGAAGUAUAGGGGGUGACACCUGACCAAUGCCGGAAGGUCAACCACGGUGGGUAUCGUACUUCGGUAUGAUGCUGAACUGUGUAAGCCCCGGUGAAUGUCGGCGAUAACUAUAAUCGUCCUAAGGUAGCGUAAUUCCUUGUCGGGUAAGUUCCGACGUGCACGAAUGGUGUAAUGACUGGGAAACUGUCUCGAGGACUCGCUCGGUGAAAAUGCAAUUCCGGUGAAGAUGCCGGAUACCUGUAGUUAGACGAAAAGACCCCAGGAGCUUUACUACAACUUCGUAUUGGCCCUGCGGGAUUCAUGCGUAGCAUAGUGGGGAGGAUUUGAAGCGUCGCUUUCGGGUGGCGUGGAUCCGUCAGUGAAAUACCCAUCUUGAAUUUUGCAGUGUCUAACCUAUGUGGGAUCCACAUGGGGACCGUGCGUGGCAGGUAGUUUUGGUGGGGCGCUAUCCUCCUAAAAAGUAACGGAGGAGUCUAUUAAGGUUCUCUAGCCGCGAAUGGAAACCGUGGCGAUAGUGUAAUGGCACAAGAGAGCUUAACUGCGAGGGGGACAUCCCAAGCAGAUGCGAAAGCAGAGCAUAGUGAACCGAUGGUACGCCUUAGAUGCGGCCAGAGAUUAACGGAUAUAAGUUACCCUGGGGAUAACAGGCUAGU